rnacentral:rRNA from 1 species
AGCGAACGCUGGCGGCAGGCUUAACACAUGCAAGUCGAGCGGGCGUAGCAAUACGUCAGCGGCAGACGGGUGAGUAACGCGUGGGAACGUACCUUUUGGUUCGGAACAACCCAGGGAAACUUGGGCUAAUACCGGAUAAGCCCUUACGGGGAAAGAUUUAUCGCCAAAAGAUCGGCCCGCGUCUGAUUAACUAGUUGGUGAGGUAACGGCUCACCAAGGCGACGAUCAGUAGCUGGUCUGAGAGGANGAUCAGCCACAUUGGGACUGAGACACGGCCCCAAAACUCCUACGGGGAGGCAGCAGUGGGGAAUAUUGGACAAUGGGCGCAAGCCUGAUCCAGCCAUGCCGCGUGAGUGAUGAAGG